GAGUUUGAUCGUGGCUCAGGAUGAACGCUGGCGGCGUGCUUAACACAUGCAAGUCGAACGGGAAACAUUUUAUUGAAGCUUCGGCAGAUUUAGCUUGGUUCCAGUGGCGGACGGGUGAGUAACGCGUGGGUAACCUGCCUCAUACAGGGGGAUAACAGUUAGAAAUGACUGCUAAUACCGCAUAAGACCACGGAGUCGCAUGACUCAGUGGGAAAAACUCCGGUGGUAUGAGAUGGACCCGCGUCUGAUUAGGUAGUUGGUGGGUAACGGCCUACC
rnacentral:rRNA from 1 species